UACGUAGGGCGCAAGCGUUAUCCGGAAUUAUUGGGCGUAAAGAGCUCGUAGGCGGUUUGUCGCGUCUGCCGUGAAAGUCCGGGGCUCAACUCCGGAUCUGCGGUGGGUACGGGCAGACUAGAGUGAUGUAGGGGGAGACUGGAAUUCCUGGUGUAGCGGUGAAAUGCGCAGAUAUCAUGAGGAACACCGAUGGCGAAGGCAGGUCUCUGGGCAUUAACUGACGCUGAGGAGCGAAAGCAUGGGGAGCGAACAGG
rnacentral:rRNA from 1 species